rnacentral:rRNA from 1 species
GACGAACGCUGGCGGUGUGCUUAACACAUGCAAGUCGAACGGAAGGGCCGUGCUUGUUUGGUGUGCUCGAUGGGGGAACGCGUGAGUAACACGUGAGUAACCGGCCCUUGACUUUGGGAUAGGUUCAGGAAACUGGGGCUAAUACCAGAAAGGAGCUCCUGCUGCGUUGGGGGGGUUGGAAAGUUUCGGCGGUUGUGGAUGGACUCGCGGCUUAUGAGCUUGUUGGUGGGGUAGUUGCUUACCAAGGAUUUGACGGGUAGCCGGCCCGAGAGGGUGACCGGCAACCUUGCGACUGAGCUACGGCACAGAGUCGUACGGGAGGCAGCAGUGGGGAAUAUUGCACAAUGGGGGCAAGUCUGAUGAAGCAACGCUGUGUGCGGGAUGACGGCCUUCGGGUUGUAAACCGCUUUAGGCUGUAACGAAGCGUGAGUGACGGUAAUGGAUAAAGAAGCACCGGCUAACUACGUG